rnacentral:rRNA from 1 species
AUACGGAGGGUGCAAGCGUUACUCGGAAUCACUGGGCGUAAAGCGCGCGCAGGCGGCCAUUUAAGUUGGAUGUGAAAGCCUACGGCUCAACCGUAGAACUGCAUCCAAAGCUAUUUGGCUAGAGUGUGGGAGAGGAAGAUGGAAUUAGUUGUGUAGGGGUAAAAUCCGUAGAGAUAACUAGGAAUACCAAAAGCGAAGGCAAUCUUCUGGAACACUACUGACGCUGAGGCGCGAAAGCGUGGGGAGCAAACGGGAUUAGAAACCCCAGUAGUCC